CAUCGCAGUGUUGAGAAUUCCUUACCCUCUGGCACUCUUCCUCCCCUACCUCAAGUAAAGAAUGAACAGGAGUUUUUGGGACAUAAACGGCAGAAACUUAAUGAUCAACCGUCAAGCCAGUCUUUGCCGUCAGAACAAAAUGGGAUAAAUUUGAAUCAAGUGUCCAUUACCACCAGAUAAAAUGAAGCUGGAAAAGUGUUUCCUCCCUCUAUGUCUAUAGGAGUGCUGCAAGAAAUUGGUCGUAGGUGUGGCACUAAGGUUGAGUACAAAUUCGAUACAAGCACCGG